rnacentral:rRNA from 1 species
CUACGGGGCGCAGCAGUAAGGAAUAUUGCGCAAUGGAGGCAACUCUGACGCAGCCAUGCCGCGUGCAGGAAGAAGGCCUUAUGGGUCGUAAACUGCUUUUAUUUAGGAAUAAACCCCCGAACGUGUUCGGGGCUGAAGGUACUAAACGAAUAAGCACCGGCUAACUCCGUGCCAGCAGCCGCGGUAAUACGGAGGGUGCAAGCGUUAUCCGGAUUUAUUGGGUUUAAAGGGUGCGCAGGCGGGCUAUUAAGUCAGUGGUGAAAUCCCGGGGCUCAACUCCGGAACUGCCAUUGAUACUGAUAGUCUUGAGUUUGGUUGAAGUGGGCGGAAUGUAGCAUGUAGCGGUGAUAUGCAUAGAUAUGCUACAGAACACCAAUCGCGAAGGCAGCUCACUAAGCCAAAACUGACGCUCAUGCACGAAAGCGUGGGGAUCAAACAGGAUUAGAUACCCCGGUAGUC